CUCCCUACGGGGCGCAGCAGUGGGGAAUAUUGGGCAAUGGGCGCAAGCCUGACCCAGCAACGCCGCGUGAAGGAAGAAGGCUUUCGGGUUGUAAACUUCUUUUCUUAGGGACGAAGAAAGUGACGGUACCUGAGGAAUAAGCCACGGCUAACUGCGUGCCAGCAGCCGCGGUAAUACGUAGGUGGCAAGCGUUAUCCGGAUUUACUGGGUGUAAAGGGCGUGUAGGCGGGGAAGCAAGUCAGAUGUGAAAACCAAGGGAUCAACCUGUGGCAUGCGUUUGAAAUUGUUUUUUUUGAGUAAUGGGG
rnacentral:rRNA from 1 species